UACGUAGGGGGCUAGCGUUGUCCGGAAUCAUUGGGCGUAAAGCGCGCGUAGGCGGCCCGGUAAGUCCGCUGUAAAAGUCAAAGGCUCAACCUUUGAAUGUCAGUGGAUACUGCCGGGCUAGAGUCCGGAAGAGGCGAGUGGAAUCCUGGUGUAGCGGUGAAAUGCGCAGAUAUCAGGAAGAACACCCGUGGCGAAGGCGCUUCUGGGACGGUACUGACGCUGAGGACGACGAAGCGUGGGGAGCGAACAGG
rnacentral:rRNA from 1 species